rnacentral:lncRNA from 1 species
GCUCAUAAGAUAAGGGAGAAUUGCAUACUAGGAAAUAAUACAAAUAAGAACAUGCACAACCCAGCAGUCCGGUUCAUCUGUUGAACCGGUCAUUUACCAUUUUCUUCACCAGUUAUUUAAGAUACAAUUUUCCGAGCUGAUACAUAGUUCAAACCAGUCCGGUCCUAUUUUCAAAACCAUAACGUUUAAGAUGAAUAAAGAUUCUGCCAAAAGGCCAUUGACAUAGGGAGUUUUGGAGGGUUAUGCCACUAAUACGCCAAUCAAAACUAUAUAAUUCUAAUAUCUCCAUCAUGCAUUUAAUGUCAUCAAACGAUUUAGAUAAGGCUGACAAAUAUUCAUCAAUAUCAAUUUUAUCAUCACAAAUAUAUUAUAUAGUUACCCUUCAGUCAAUGAUGUUUGGUCUGAAAUGCAAUAGACCUAUCUGAUCUGAUGGCAUUGGGAAUUUAUCUUUGAUAAACAAAAUUGCUUUAUCCGGAAUAUUAGAGUGAAGAUGGCAAAGCAUGGAAGUUGAAGCAAUCCGACGCCCAAGUACCUGCAAAUUUGUUUCAACAGCAUAUUAGGGCUAUACCACCAUAAUGAAAGAUAUGGAAAAGGAUUCCUGUAAUUUCCGUGACUGUCUAGAUGUCGUUUGGUUAUUUCUUAUUAAUUUGAUUGCAUAAUUAGGUAGGAUAUUUCAUUUUCUCAUUAUAACCCUUUAAAUAGGGUAUUUCUCUUUGUGUUUAGUGUAAAGGAAAUUUACAUGAAUAAGCUGUCAUACUUGAACCUCAAACUUCUCGAGACGAACCAAUGGGAAACUAAGAAAUUUUUCCUCAGAGAAAAAACUGAACAGCCUGACAACACUUAUUGUACCAUUAUCGGUUGAACACAAAAAACCACCACCAGCCAAACGGAACCAAAACUGCAAUUUGAAACCAUACCAAAUCCCAAAAUGUUGUUUGGCUUAGUUUAGUCCAGAUAGUGAAAUGGUUUGAUUUGGACUCUCUCAAACUGUUGGUUUGUAACCCAUAUAAUCUAAUUAUGUAAUGGUAAGAAUU